CGCCACAGCCAUAUCACCCUGCAGCCAAAGACCGGUUACUCACUGAUGCUAAGCAGAGCUGAGCCUGGUCAGUACCUGGAUGGGAGACCACUAGGGAACACUAGGUUGCUGUUGGAA
rfam:Danio rerio chromosome 9, GRCz11 reference primary assembly.